rnacentral:rRNA from 1 species
CGUAAGGUUGACCUCGGAUCAGGUAGGAAGACCCGCUGAACUUAA